GCGAGCUUGAUCCUGGCUCAGGGUGAACGCUGGCGGCGUGCCUAACACAUGCAAGUCGGACGGCCCCCGGCUGUCCAAGCUCGGGGGAAGUGGCGGACGGUUGCGUAACACGUGGGUGACCUGCCCCCAAGCGGGGAAUAGCCAGCCCAAAAGGCUGGGUAAUCCCCCAUAUGCUCACGGGCUCAUAUGCCCGCGAGAAAAGUCGCUGGCAACUUGGUGGCGCUUGGGGAUGGGCCCGCGGCCCGGAGCUUGUUGGUGGGGUAAUGGCUCACCAAGGCGUCGAUGGGUAGCUGGUUCGAGAGGACGGCCAGCCAGACCGGGACUGAGACACGGCCCGGUCCCCUGCGGGGGCCAUCAGCCCACCGAGGGGGCAGCAGUGGGGAAUCUUGGGCAAUGGGCGAAAGCCUGACCCUGCGACGCCGCGUGGGGGAUGACACCCUUCGGGGCGUAAACCCCUUUUGCCGGGGAAGACACCCGACAGUACCCGGCGAAUAAGCCCCGCCUAACUACGUGCCAGCAGGGGCGGUGAAACGUAGGGGGCGAGCGUUGCCCGGAGUUACUGGGCGUAAAGCGCGCGUAGGCGGCCAGCCCCGUCGGUCGUGAAAUCUCCAGGCUCAACCUGGAAAGCGCGAUCGAAACCGGCUGGCUUGAGGGCGGGAGAGGGAGGUGGAACUCCCAGAGGAGGGGUGAAAUCCGAUGAUACUGGGAAGAACACCGACUGGCGAAGGCAGCCUCCUGGAACGUUCCUGACGCUGAGGCGCGAAAGCCUGGGGAGCGAACCGGAUUGGAUACCCGGGUAGUCCAGGCCGUAAAGGUUGGGCACUGGUUCUUGGGUCCAGCCCCGCGUUUCGAAACGCUGGGCGACGGUCUCAGGAACUCAGCUAACGCGGCAAGUGCCCCGCCUGGGGGAGGGUCGCAAGGCCCAAAUCCAAAGGAAUUGGCGUGGGUCCGCACAAGCGGCUGAGCGCGUGGUUUAAUCCGACGCAAACCGUAGAACCUUACCAGGGCUUGACAUGCCGCUGCAGACCCCGGAAACGGGGUGGCCUUCGAGGGUGCGGCACAGGUGCUGCAUGGCUGUCGUCAGCCCGUGCUGUGAAGUGUUGGGUUCAAUCCUAGAACGGGCGCAACCCUUAUCGCCUGUUGCCUCGCUGGGCGCCUAGUGAGGCUCUCAGGCGAGACCGCCGCCCUCUACGCGGGAACGUAGGUGGGUUGGAGGAAGGUGGGGAUGACGUCAAGUCGGCAUGGCCCGUAUGCCCUGGGCGACACACACGCUACAGUGGGCGGUACAGAGGGCUGCCAACCCGCGAGGGGGAGCGAAUCUCAGAAAGCCGCUCGUGGUUCGGAUCGGGGGCUGCAACCCGCCCCCGUGAAGCCGGCGCCGCUAGUAACCGCAGGUCAGCACUACUGCGGUGAAUACGUUCCCGGACCCUGCACACCUGGCCCGCCACGCCCUGGGAAAGAUUCCACGUCGAAGUGGGCGGAUCACCCGCCUGCGAGGCGUGGGACCCCAACUGGGGCAAAGGCGCAGCAAGGUAGCCGUAGCGGAAGCUGCGGCUAAAGGACUUUC
rnacentral:rRNA from 1 species